UCAUAAGAUGGUCUUUUGUAAGUUGCCAUACAGAAGAACCAUAAUUAAAUAUGUAUUUCUGUAUCGUCAGAUACACCUUUACAUAUGAAGACUGUCUGAACCAUAUGCUAUAUGAAUCUCAACUACAAGGCAUACUGGUAAUUUCUUCUAUCAGGAGACAGUAGCUACUGUAGUUUUGGGGUGAGGAGAGCUGGAGAAACCAAGACUCAAGCCCAGUCUGAGGGGACAGCUUAGAGGCAAUUAAAAGUAAUAAGCUGUCUAUCAAAUACUGUGAACCAAUGGAAGGACUGAC